AUGACAGAGCCCAGACUAGCCCUGGGGAGGCAGCGCCAGGGACCGGCUCCUGCCCCCCUACCACCCCUACUCCACCAAGCUCCAACUCCGAGCCCAGCCACCCUUCCCGAGGGAAACGAAGGAGCGGACAGAGCACUCUGCUUUAUACUGUUUCCAACUCAUUUUGUGACUGGAGCCCUAGAAUCUCACUUUCGACCCUGUUUUUUCCUUAUCUAUCAAAUGUGGGGUGACAACGCCUGCUCAUCUCUCUGGGCUGAGUCGGGACAUGUGUGACCAUAUAUUCCAAAGUGACUUGAACUGAGCCCUGCUUAUGAAAUGCCUGCCUCCACUCUCUUUGACACGCAUCAGAAAACAAGACGGAUUGAUGGAUGGACAGAUGGACAGAAAUGGGAUACAGCAAAUAGGACAGCGCUCACGGUAGAGCCCAGGGAGUUUGCCAUCGGUCCCUUCGACUUUUCUACAUGUACUGAAUUUCUUAUAAUUAAAAAUAUUGCGGAAACGUGAUCUGGAAAGUUCAGAGUACCAUACACGUGGUGAAAGUGAAGACACAGACAGGAUUAUUUCGAGCGGAAGGGAAAGGUCACGUGCUGCACACUCAUUGUAUAGCAGGCACUUAAAGAAGUCUCUCACUUAAUCUUGGAGUCACCCUUGUUAUUUUAGCUGAAGAAAGUGACCCUGGAGGAGUCAGGAGACUUGUCUAAGACCACCAGGGUGCAGAGCGGGACUCGGACCAGACGGGCUGGCUCCAGAGGCCAGCUCGCAACCACGAGGCCCUCCAGAGAUUGCAAGGCCCUUCCCGAUCCGGGCAGCCUUCCUGCAAAGUCCUGGGUCUCUCUGAGCCUCAGUUUGCCCUGCUGUACCAUGAGUUUGGAUCCAAAGGUCUUCAAGAUCUUUUUCAGUUCUAACACUCACUAAUUUGAUUAAUUCAGCACAACCCUUCCCCAAGCGUCAAUUUUCCAAAGAGGUAAAAUGACAGGGAGGCCCAGGAGAGACAAAUGGCCUCAGGAAAGAUUUGGGGGCGUCUGGGCCAGCGUCACAGGAGGUGGUCAGCACCUUGGAGGACUGGUCCCCCCCACCGUCAGUGACAACCCUUGACGAUGAGGGGAAGGGCACCUUCGCAGGACCCUACCUGGGGAGGGCAGAGACAGAAGCGUCACUGUACCCACCCUCCCCACCCCUCCCACACCCCUCCC
rnacentral:lncRNA from 1 species